rnacentral:lncRNA from 1 species
CGACUUCUUCCCUUUGGCAAACGCUGAGCUCCUGCUCUGUUUUGUCCAAUUAUGGGUUGAGCUCACCCCUGCCCACGAGCCAGCUAAUCAGACUUUUAUGAGCCUUGCUCCCUCACGCCCAGGGCCCGGAGCUGAAUGCAGGUUUCUGCAGAGAGAGGAGGACGUGCUUUUUGCCGGAAGACUGCUUCCCACUCUGACCUAAUCCUGGGAGCCCUGGAACCUCAAAUCCUAGCUCUCUGAGGAGAGUCCAGCUUCUUCCAUCAACAUGGACCUCAGGACCCUGGUGUGAGAAAGGGCCUGGAAGAUAAGCCUAGACAUCUCCAACUGGAACUCGGGAUGAAUUCUCCCAUAGACCUACCUGUGAAUGGUGCCUGGCAUGGUCAAGGCUGAGACAACUAAAUGUGUGUUUUGUAUACACCCUCUAUGAAUCUGUGCUGGAUUGCCAAAAUAUGGAAACAUAAGUAGAAACACCUAGAGAGUGCCUGACCUUGUGAAAAAGACCUAUAAUUCCAAUUAAUAUUUUUUAAAGCCUAAGUUUGACUCCCCAAAACCUUUUCUCUACAGUAUCUUGAACCAUACAGCAUUCGUUCUAUUGACUAAGUUCAGCUGACGCAAAGCAAGAACGGAAGAAAGCAGUGGUGAUGGGGUGACUCAUCGGCCUUCAGUGGAGGCAAUUAUGUCGGGCACACAGAGUCUGUGGGAGCUGCCCUUCCACCGAGGGAGAGACAAAGCGCAGGGCGUCUCAGCACCGAGGGUCUGUGUCUGUCCACGCAGCCAGCGGCCCCGUGUAGGAUGGGAGUCACGAAGCUCGGCCGGUAGAGACACACACACAUCACAUACCUCACGUCUACCGCCCCCUCCCUCAGCGAGGACCAUCGAGCACAUGAGUUCCACUUGGACGGAAAAGCAACGCUAGCAUUGCAGCGCCGUGGGUUCAUGGCACAGCCCUGAGGCUGAUUAUGGAGGCUGCCACCCCAGCGACAAAGUGACGCCCACGUCUUAACAGGAACGAGCAAAAUGAAGUUCUCUGCUGUUCACAUCAAGGCCAGUGUCAUCGGUGCUGCAUGCAGAUGGAUGCACCUUUCAAAUAGAGGCUCCAGGGGCGAUUCAAGACGUGCUAAUGUCUCUGUGAGGACGGAUGGCUCCCCUCACCCGGUCGCGGCUGAUAUUGAUAACUUGGUACAAGGCUGGGCUUUUCCUUGACAGCAUUGUCUGCUGUGAGAAUCUAGGGCUGCAAAUAAAACACCAGAAUAGUUAUGGGUAUCUUUCCA